rnacentral:rRNA from 1 species
UACAGAGGUUUCAAGCGUUGUUCGGAUUUAUUGGGCGUAAAGGGUGCGUAGGCGGCUCUUUAAGUCGGGUGUGAAAUCUCGGAGCUUAACUCCGAAACUGCAUUCGAUACUGCCGUGCUUGAGGACUGGAGAGGAGACUGGAAUUUACGGUGUAGCGGUGAAAUGCGUAGAUAUCGUAAGGAAGACCAGUGGCGAAGGCGGGUCUCUGGACAGUUCCUGACGCUGAGGCACGAAGGCCAGGGGAGCAAACGGG